rnacentral:rRNA from 1 species
AGCGAACGCUGGCGGCAGGCCUAACACAUGCAAGUCGAACGAUCCUUCGGGAUAGUGGCGGACGGGUGAGUAACACGUGGGAACGUACCUUUAGGUUCGGGAUAACUCAGGGAAACUUGAGCUAAUACCGGAUAAGCCCUUCGGGGAAAGGAUUUAUCGCCUUUAGAGCGGCCCGCGUUAGAUUAGCUAGUUGGUGAGGU